UACGGAGGGGGCUAGCGUUGUUCGGAAUUACUGGGCGUAAAGCGCACGUAGGCGGCUUUGUAAGUUAGAGGUGAAAGCCCGGGGCUCAACUCCGGAAUUGCCUUUAAGACUGCAUCGCUUGAAUUGUGGAGAGGUAAGUGGAAUUCCGAGUGUAGAGGUGAAAUUCGUAGAUAUUCGGAAGAACACCAGUGGCGAAGGCGACUUACUGGACACAUAUUGACGCUGAGGUGCGAAAGCGUGGGAGCAAACAGG
rnacentral:rRNA from 1 species